GACGAACGCUGGCGGCGUGCCUAACACAUGCAAGUCGAACGGAGAUACGAUUUCGGUUGUAUCUUAGUGGCGAACGGGUGAGUAACGCGUGAACAACCUGACUCUUAGAGGGGGAUAACACUCGGAAACGGGUGCUAAUACCGCAUAAGACCACGACCCGGCAUCGGGAUGAGGGCAAAGGAGCAAUCCGCUGAGAGAGGGGUUCGCGUCCCAUUAGAUAGAUGGCGGGGUAACGGCCCACCAUGUCGACGAUGGGUAGCCGAGCUGAGAGGCUGAUCGGCCACACUGGAACUGAGACACGGUCCAGACUCCUACGGGAGGCAGCAGUGGGGAAUAUUGGGCAAUGGGCGCAAGCCUGACCCAGCAACGCCGCGUGAGGGAAGAAGGCUUUCGGGUUGUAAACCUCUGUCCUUGGUGACGAAACAAAUGACGGUAGCCAAGGAGGAAGCCCCGGCUAACCACGUGCCAGCCGCCGCGGUAAAAC
rnacentral:rRNA from 1 species